CAUGGCCGGGGCGUGUGUGUGUGUGUGUGUGUGUGUGUGCCCCCAAGGCCCAAGGAGCUGCAC
rnacentral:pre_miRNA from 12 species